rnacentral:rRNA from 1 species
GACGAACCGUGCGAACGUUGUUCGGAAUCACUGGGCUUAAAGGGCGCGUAGGCGGGCUUGCCGGUCCGGGGUGAAAGCCCCCAGCUCAACUGGGGAAGCGCCUUGGAUACCGCAAGCCUGGAGGGAGGUAGGGGCGUGCGGAACUUCCGGUGGAGCGGUGAAAUGCGUAGAUAUCGGAAGGAACACCGGUGGCGAAAGCGGCGCGCUGGACCUCUUCUGACGCUGAGACACGAAAGCGUGGGUAGCAAACAGG